rnacentral:lncRNA from 1 species
CUUUCAUCUCAAGGCAACUGAUCUCUCAAAUCACCUACACGUUAACAGCUUUCCAGGACCCCUGCUUUGCAAGUGAGAGACACUGCUGAGAAAGAGCAGUGAAACUCAGGAGAAUGGGGACCUUACCCAAGGAUGUGACAAAUCUCUUUUCAAAAUAGACCCAGACUGAGACAAGAAAAAGGGCAUUGGCCUUUUCCAGAAUUUCAUCUGUGCCUUGGACAGCACCCAUCGUUGGCCUGCACCAGUGUUUGGAUGCCUCUUUUCUGUUCCAGAAGUUUCCAAUUGGCUUACCCUCAGACAAACAGAGCAAAGAACUGGAUGUGAACUUUGAGGUGGGGGAGGGUGAAGUUCAUUCCCAGCACAAUCCAUGAUGGAGGGAUUUUCACCCUCCAGAGAGCCUGCUGGCAUCAGCAGACUUCCAUUGCUUAAGGAUGCUUGCUUUGAGCUAGAGCAGUCCUGCUGAGGUACCAGGCCUGUGUCUGCUGCUGGGAGUUGAGCACAACACAGGAAUCCUU